UCCCUGGUAGUAUAUCGGCUAGUACACCCGCUUGUCACCUUACAAGUGCGCGGGAGAGCGGGGUUCGACUCCCCGCCAAGGAG
rnacentral:tRNA from 1 species